AGGGCUGUAUGAUGGAGAUGUAGGGCUAUAGGAGGGUGAGGUUGGGCUGUAAGAAGGAGAUGUCGGACUGUAUGAUGGCGAUGUUGGGCUGUAUGAUGGAGAAGUGGGGCUGUAUGCAGGUGAAGUUGGGCUAUAUGCCGGUGAAGUAGGGCUGUAGCUUGGUGAAGUUGGACUAUAGCUGGGAGAUGUGGGACUAUAACUUGGUGAAGUAGGACUGUAACUUGGAGACGUAGGGCUGUAGCUUGGAGAGGUAGGGCUAUAGCUUGGUGAGGUUGGAGAAUAAGAGGGACUUGUAGGAGAGUAGGCUGGACUUGUUGGGCUGUAACCUGGUGAACUAGGACUGUAAGUAGGUGAUGUGGGGCUGUAACCAGGCGAGGUAGGACUGUAGCCAGGAGAUGUAGGGCUGUAACCAGGCGAGGUAGGACUGUAGCCAGGAGAUGAAGGACUGUAGCCAGGAGAUGAUGGGCUGUAACCAGGGGAUGACGUGGGAGAGAAUGCCAUCCCGCCAACAUAAGGUGAGAACUGAGCAUCCGAAAUGGGAGAGAGACGGAGAUUUGGGCUCAGCAAGUAACUUGGAGACAUCAUGCCUUCAUGAUAUGGAGUUCCUGAUACUGGAGAUCGAGCA
rnacentral:lncRNA from 1 species